rnacentral:rRNA from 1 species
UACGAAGGGGGCUAGCGUUGCUCGGAAUCACUGGGCGCAAAGGGUGCGUAGGCGGGUUUUUAAGUCAGAGGUGAAAUCCUGGAGCUCAACUCCAGAACUGCCUUUGAUACUGAAGAUCUUGAGUCCGGAAGAGGUGAGUGGAACUGCGAGUGUAGAGGUGAAAUUCGUAGAUAUUCGCAAGAACACCAGUGGCGGAGGCGGCUCACUGGUCCGGUACUGACGCUGAGGCACGAAAGCGUGGGGAGCAAACAGG